AUGCUUUGGUGGUUUGUUUUUCAGAAUGUUCUCCUGGUUAUUAUGACCCAGUCUGCCAUUUUAACUGCUGAUGUCAGAACAAUGGAAUUUGCAAUAGGUUUUCUGGAAGCUGUGCCUCCGAGUUUACCAUGGAAGGGACUGCAAAUGCGGAAAACAGAAAUAAUGAGUGGGCAUAUUAAGGUGAACAACCAGGACAGCAUGGUUUCUGCAUUUCCAGCUCUAACAGUCUGUAAUUCUAUGAUGGCAACCAUUUGGGGUCUGGUGAUGUCACUGACAUCUGGAGAAGAGAAAAACAAGGCCACAGGAACCAGUUUGGAGAAUGAGAUCAAUUGGCAUACGAUUCCUGGUAAUUUCUACACCCAACAUGGGGUUCAAACUCAUGACCCUGGGAUCAAGAGUUGUAUGCUCUUCCGACUGAGCCAGCCAGGCUGAAAUAUGAUGGUGCGAAGACACUUUUUAAACCCCUGGCACUUCGAAUAAUGAUGGGCAGAUUGCCUUAAAGGAGAGAUACCUGGCUGCUUUCACCAUGCUGGAUUUACUGCCAAAAUUUUGAAAAGAAUAAAUGUUUAAACAUCAAGUAUUCCAGAAUUAAAAACUAGUUUAAGAUUUUUCUACACCCUUGUAUAUUUUGGAUUUUUUUUUCCCUUUUUCUUAUUUCUUUCCUUUCCUCCAGUGUCAUCUCCCAAAGAUUUCUACCUUUAUUCCACACAAUGGUUUCAAAGCUGUCGGUAUGACUCUAUACUUACAUUCUUCUUAGAUACUCUUUUCUCCCCAUGCCCCUCCCAAAACACCAUGGAUUAGUAUCUUUAUAUUUCUUUCCCAAUGUGUGCACUAGUUCCCCAAAAUUGAAGUUUAAACAAAUAAACUAUUUUAUGUGGCUAUUUCCCUUUUCUCCCAUGGCACCAAAAUAAAUGGAGUAGAAGUUCUAAUGAAACAACUGGAGUAGAAGAUAAUCUUUGGAUUCUAUAGAAGAGAUAUGCGUGAUUUCAAGAUUUUAGCACUCUGUACUGAAGGGCCUUGACUAAUUAACUAAAUCCUCCUAAAUCAUAGUAUUCAAUUAAAU
rnacentral:lncRNA from 1 species